rnacentral:misc_RNA from 1 species
GAUGAAGAACAUAGCGAAAUGCGAUACUUGGUGUGAAUUGCAGAAUCCCGUGAACCAUCGAGUCUUUGAACGCAAGUUGCGCCCGAAGCCAUCAGGUUGAGGGCACGUCUGCCUGGGCGUCACAUAUCGUUGCCCAAUGCCUAUUGCAGUGCAAUAGGAAUUUCUAGGGCGAAUGAUGGCUUCCCGUGAGCGUUGUUGCCUCGCGGUUGGUUGAAAAUCGAGUCCUUGGUAGGGUGUGCCAUGGUAGAUGGUGGUCGAGUUAGAACGAUACCGAUCAUGUGCAUGCUCCCCAAAAUAUGGCCUCUAUGACCCACACGCGUCUUUUGACGCUCAUGACGAGACCUCAGGUCAGGCGGGGCUACCCGCUGAAUUUAAGCAUAUCAAUAAGCGGAGGA